rnacentral:rRNA from 1 species
GGCUCAGAUUGAACGCUGGCGGCAUGCCUUACACAUGCAAGUCGAACGGUAGAGGGGGCAACCCUUGAGAGUGGCGAACGGGUGAGUAAUAUAUCGGAACGUGCCCAGUCGUGGGGAUAACGUAGCGAAAGCUACGCUAAUACCGCAUACGAUCUACGGAUGAAAGCGGGGGAUCGCAAGACCUCGCGCGAUUGGAGCGGCCGAUAUCAGAUUAGGUAGUUGGUGAGGUAAAGGCUCACCAAGCCGACGAUCUGUAGCUGGUCUGAGAGGACGACCCAGCCACACUGGGACUGAGACACGGCCCAGACUCCUACGGGAGGCAGCAGUGGGGAAUUUUGGACAAUGGGCGCAAGCCUGAUCCAGCAAUGCCGCGUGCAGGAUGAAGGCCUUCGGGUUGUAAACUGCUUUGUACGGAACGAAACGGUGAGCUCUAAUACAGUUUGCUAAUGACGGUACCGUAAGAAUAAGCACCGGCUAACUACGUG